UUCCACCUGAGGUUGAUCUCUGAGGUUUCUCUUCCACUGACUCAUCGACUGGUUCGACUGGUUCAGAGUUUGAUGAAGUGAAGCCUGCAGACACACCAGACUCAGAAAGCAGCGUCUCUGGGCUCAUUUACUGGUUAAGGAUGAGACUUUUAAUCAUCAUGUGAAGCUUGUUUACCAGAGAGACCUCGUCAGGACACAAAAGAGCCGCUGCAAUGACAGACAUUAACAGGAAAAACUCAAGUGGAGCGGCAUGUUCCAACAGGAAAAGGAUCCCUCAGAAGAAACCAGAGUCCUCUGAACCCAGCUGUGUGUCCAUGAAGAGUGACCGCUCAAAGGCCGAACCCCUCACAUUCAAAGAUGGACAGAAGAUCCGGGAAGGACCAGAUCAACCCAGCUGUGUGUCCAUGAAGAGUGACCGCUCAAAGGCCGAACCUCUCACAUUCAAAGAUGGACACCCUCCUUCUGGACAUAAGAUCCAUCGGAAGAGACCAGAGUCCUCUGAACCCAGCUGUGUGUCCAUGAAGAGUGACCGCUCAAAGGCCGAACCUCUCACAUUCAAAGAUGGACACCCUCCUUCUGGACAUAAGUAAGCUGUUACUAACAUUUAACUGUCAGAGAUUCUAUGUUUAACAGUUACACAUCCAGAAAAUGGUUUAUGGUUAGCUUCAUUUGGGAGUUUUUCGAUG
rnacentral:lncRNA from 15 species